rnacentral:lncRNA from 1 species
AGGUCAUGUUUUCUUUUUCCUUUCUGUCUUUUACAUGUGAAUGAUCACUUAUAAAUAUGUAGACUACUAGUUUCUGAAUCAUGUUAGUUCAGCUUAUGAUUAUUGCAUCUUUAGGAAUUGGUUUGUGUAUAUGUUUAUACAGUGGGUCAUGUGGUUUCUUGAAAAUCCGGUCAUCUCUGAUCUCUGGGCAGCCAUCGUGUGUGGCUGUGUCAUUUUUGCGUUUCUUGGCCUAUGGAAAGAAACUGCUUGGCGAGGUCUUGAUCAGGUUAAAUUCUUUCAAAAUAAUGCAUAUUUCUAUGAGAUGCCUGCGUGUGCGUUGAUUUGAUUGCUUGUAAUUCGGAUUUAAUUUAUGGGGAUUGAGUAAGUUUUAACUCCAGCUUAAUGUUUGGAAAAGAUAGUUUUUUUUCCAUGUUUUUCCAAUUCUGCAACCAAAAUUUGACCCACCAAAUGGCAGAUAUGUAUAAUCAUGAGGAGCAUAGGAGAGCAGUUGUGUGCAAUAGCUGGACUUUUAGUUUUGGGUGCUGUAAGCCACUCAAAUGUUUAGAGCGAAGAAAUUUGAUUUGAGCAGUUAUUUUUUCCUCUUUUUGCCAUAAUGGAUGCUUAAAUGUCUUUGAUGGUUUGUCUUGAGCUGAGAAAGAAUUUUUUCUUUUUUUUCAUUAGCAAACCAGCCUAUUAAGUAUGGUCAACUCCUGGCUUCUUAUCUGUCAAUCUUUUUGUAUUUAGAAAC